ensembl:miRNA gmo-mir-135c-2 gmo-mir-135c-2
UAUGGCUUUCUAUUCCUAUGUGAGUUGUGCUCUUGAGGAUCACGUAGGGUUCAAAGCCAUUGG